UACGGGGGAUGCAAGUGUUAUCCGGAAUCACUGGGCGUAAAGCGUCUGCAGGCGGUUUCCUAAGUCCACUGUUAAACCUUGAGGCUCAACCUCAAAUCUGCAUUGGAAACUAGGAGACUUGAGUAUAGUAGGGGUAGAGGGAAUUUCCAGUGGAGCGGUGAAAUGCGUAGAUAUUGGAAAGAACACCGAUGGCGAAGGCACUCUACUGGGCUAUUACUGACACUCAGAGACGAAAGCUAGGGGAGCAAAUGGG
rnacentral:rRNA from 1 species